GCUGAGAGUGGUACCAGCUGAGUUUGAGAAGAAUCGGAGCGGAAUGGCAGUUCCUCAAAGCCCGUGACGCGCUGGUCUCUACCCCAAUCCCAGAAGUAGUCAUCCAGUCAACACAAGUAUCAUUCACACAUGGAAAUAAAUGAAGACCACCUACGUGGGAGCAAUUUGCUAUGAGGAGGAAGACAAUUCUUGUCUGGUUGCCCUUGGGUCACAGCUCUUUAAGAUUGCAGAGGAUGGAAAAACCUGCUACUUCACGACCAUCUGUGACUGGAGGCUGUGUGGCUGGUGCUGCUCCAAAGAGUGGCGUCUCCUUUGUUUCUUGGAAUGUUAUACAAACACAGUGGAAGGAAAAAUGGACUCCUUUUUUAGCAAAUAUGCUCAAACCCUAAAAUUAAAUCAAGAAAUAUCUAAAUUCAGGAGAUAGCCAUUUAAACAAGAGAGUGGAUUAUUGCUCCAACUCAUGAAAUCUACUUAUACAUUAUCUGUUAAAUAAUAGCAUUACAGAGAUGUUAUUAGUAACCAUUGUGUUCCUUUUCUUCUACUCCCAUUUCUUUGCAAAGUAACUUAGAUGAGUGUUAAUUAUUAAAAUGGUCACAUUUUAGCCAAGUAACCAAGCCUUAGCUCUGCCUUUGAUAAAAUGCGUUGGAAGAACUUAACUCUUCCUAUUUAAAAUGCAGUAUCCGCAAAAGUAUAUUUUUGUGUGCGUUUGUCUAGAUUUCUUUUGCUCACUAAUGAAAUAGGAUAUAAAUUCUUUACCCCAUCUCUGUAAGUUUUAAACCAUGGGGGAAUGAACAAAUCUUGUGUGGUGGUAUUCAAGACCCUGAGGCCACUUAACACCUCUCCCCAAUAUAACAACCCCCUCCAAUUUGUUUAACUUCAGUGAGCCACGAAUUACCCUUAGAAACAUU